AUUCAUUGCUGUUAGCUCCGGCAGUUGGAUGAAAAGUUUUAGCAAAAGCAGCAACAAAUGUACUUUAAAUACUAGCACAGUAAGGGAAUUCCUGUCUUUCAGGAUGAAUGCCAUCCACACAAAAGAGCUCCUGUUGACAUCUCAUUUACAAUCUCCCCCAGGACACAGACAAGACCCUUUCAAUAAAUCCAGCUCAGAAACACCUAUUGUUCAAAAUCUUCAACUCGCCACAGGCUACCACCACUCCCUAUGGCUUUGCAAAAUUAAAGAUUUAGAAGAAGGAUGGGGCGGUGGAAGCUAUGAAAAGAGGCAGGAAAAAAGUUCCUUUGACCCGAUGCUGUCAGAGAGCGUGCAUGAAGAAGAAAGUUAAUGGUAUUUCCAUUUAUAUAAGAAGCGCCUAAGAAAUGCCUGUGACGUUCGUGAACUAGUGAUUGUGAAUUCCAAAUUUGAUGCCAACUUUAUGUGUAAAGAAGCUAACUCCUGCCAACAUCGUGGCUGAAUGAACAGCUGGGACUAUGCUUAACCCAUUCCCAGCUUAUAAAAGCCCCAUGGCAGCUGCAGUGAAGCAUCA
rnacentral:lncRNA from 1 species